rnacentral:rRNA from 1 species
UACGAAGGGGGCUAGCGUUGUUCGGAUUUACUGGGCGUAAAGCGCACGUAGGCGGAUUGUUAAGUGAGAGGUGAAAUCCCGGAGCUCAACUCCGGAACUGCCUUUCAUACUGGCAAUCUAGAGUCCGGAAGAGGUGAGUGGAACUCCUAGUGUAGAGGUGGAAUUCGUAGAUAUUAGGAAGAACACCAGUGGCGAAGGCGGCUCACUGGUCCGGUACUGACGCUGAGGUGCGAAAGCGUGGGGAGCGAGUCCGGG